GAUGAACGCUGGCGGCGUGCCUAAUACAUGCAAGUCGAGCGAACAGAUGAGGAGCUUGCUCCUCUGACGUUAGCGGCGGACGGGUGAGUAACACGUGGAUAACCUACCUAUAAGACUGGGAUAACUUCGGGAAACCGGAGCUAAUACCGGAUAAUAUAUUGAACCGCAUGGUUCAAUAGUGAAAGACGGUUUUGCUGUCACUUAUAGAUGGAUCCGCGCCGCAUUAGCUAGUUGGUAAGGUAACGGCUUACCAAGGCAACGAUGCGUAGCCGACCUAAGAGGGUGAUCGGCCACACUGGAACUGAGACACGGUCCAGACUCCUACGGGAGGCAGCAGUAGCGAAUCUUCCGCAAUGGGCGAAAGCCUGACGGAGCAACGCCGCGUGAGUUAUGAAGGUCUUCGGAUCGUAAAACUCUGUUAUUAGGGAAGAACAAAUGUGUAAGUAACUAUGCACGUCUUGACGGUACCUAAUCAGAAAGCCACGGCUAACUACGUG
rnacentral:rRNA from 1 species